rnacentral:rRNA from 1 species
GUGGGGAAUCUUAGACAAUGGGCGCAAGCCUGAUCUAGCCAUGCCGCGUGAUCGAUGAAGGCCUUAGGGUUGUAAAGAUCUUUCAGUGGGGAAGAUAAUGACUGUACCCACAGAAGAAGCCCCGGCUAACUCCGUGCCAGCAGCCGCGGUAAUACGGAGGGGGCUAGCGUUGUUCGGAAUUACUGGGCGUAAAGCGCACGUAGGCGGAUCAGAAAGUCAGAGGUGAAAUCCCAGGGCUCAACCUUGGAACUGCCUUUGAAACUCCUGAUCUUGAGGUCGAGAGAGGUGAGUGGAAUUCCGAGUGUAGAGGUGAAAUUCGUAGAUAUUCGGAGGAACACCAGUGGCGAAGGCGGCUCACUGGCUCGAUACUGACGCUGAGGUGCGAAAGCGUGGGGAGCAAACAGGAUUAGAAACCCCAGUAGUCC